rnacentral:rRNA from 1 species
UUGAACGCUGGCGGCAUGCCUUACACAUGCAAGUCAACGGCAGCACGGGAGCAAUCCUGGUGGCGAGUGGCGAACGGGUGAGUAAUAGUAUCGGAACGUGCCCGGUCGUGGGGGAUAACGUAGCGAAAGCUACGCUAAUACCGCAUACGAUCUACGGAUGAAAGCGGGGGAUCGCAAGACCUCGCGCGAUUGGAGCGGCCGAUAUCAGAUUAGGUAGUUGGUGAGGUAAAGGCUCACCAAGCCGACGAUCUGUAGCUGGUCUGAGAGGACGACCAGCCACACUGGGACUGAGACACGGCCCAGACUCCUACGGGAGGCAGCAGUGGGGAGUUUUGGACAAUGGGCGCAAGCCUGAUCCAGCAAUGCCGCGUGCAGGAUGAAGGCCUUCGGGUUGUAAACUGCUUUUGUACGGAACGAAACGGUGAGCUCUAAUACAGUUUGCUAAUGACGGUACCGUAAGAAUAAGCACCGGCUAACUACGUG